rnacentral:rRNA from 1 species
GACGAACGCUGGCGGCGUGCUUAACACAUGCAAGUCGAACGGAAAGGCCCUGCUUUUGUGGGGUGCUCGAGUGGCGAACGGGUGAGUAACACGUGAGUAACCUGCCCUUGACUUUGGGAUAACUUUAGGAAACUGGGGCUAAUACCGGAUAGGAGCUCCUGCUGCACGGUGGGGGUUGGAAAGUUUCGGCGGUUGUGGAUGGACUCGCGGGUUAUCAGCUGGUUGGUGUGGUAGUUGCUUACAAAGCUUUUGACGGGUAGCCGGCCUGAGAGGGUGACCGGCCACAUUGGGACUGAGAUACGGCGCAGACUCCUACGGGAGGCAGUGGUGGGGAAUAUUGCACAAUGGGCGGAAGCCUGAUGCAGCAACGCCGCGUGCGGGAUGACGGCCUUCGGGUUGUAAACCGCUUUCGCCUGUGACGAAGCGUGAGUGACGGUAAUGGGUAAAGAAGCACCGGCUAACUACGUG